rnacentral:rRNA from 1 species
CAAACGACUCUCGGCA